GUGUCAGCCGCCGCGGUAAUACGUAGGUGGCGAGCGUUGUCCGGAUUUACUGGGCGUAAAGCGCGCGCAGGCGGUUCGUUAAGUCUGGUGUGAAAGCUCCCGGCUCAACUGGGAGAGGUCAUCGGAUACUGGCGGACUCGAGGGAUGCAGAGGAAGGUGGAAUUCCCGGUGUAGUGGUGAAAUGCGUAGAGAUCGGGAGGAACACCAGUGGCGAAGGCGGCCUUCUGGGCAUUUCCUGACGCUGAGGCGCGAAAGCGUGGGGAGCGAACCGGAUUAGAUACCCCAGUAGUCC
rnacentral:rRNA from 1 species